UGAGUCAGUCUCAACUUUUCGUUGCAGACCCACUGCGCUUUUCUGAGAGUCCCCCCUGCAUCAACCCCCCCGCCGCAGCCUUAACGCACUUCCCCCAUUCAAAAUGAAUGGGAAGACUUGCGUUUUCGCCGAACCAUCGGACCCACGCACGCUGUUUGAAGGC